GUUUUGUUAACUUGAAUCGAAUAAUUCUAUUGGCCAACCGUAACUGAGGUAGAUAUAUUUGUCAAAAUAUGAUUACAAUCGUUUUUCACUCUUGAUCCAGGACGCCUUUCCUUGUUUGCUUUAUUUGUGACGAGGCCGGUAGUCUCUUUGUAACGUAUGUCACACAUUGCACUAUUCAUACAUGGCUGGCUGAGGUUAUAACCUUGAUUUGUCCAUGGAGAUCCACAGUUUAUUGAUCUCUUUGGGGUGAGCAGUGGUUCAGUGCCUUGAUUACAGGCACUCUUGAACUUCCUGUAAAGGGAGAGACAUGACGUUGUGCUCAGUCAAAUCCAGCACACAGACUUUUUCAGCGUUUCCUGGAAUCUAAGCCGACUGCGCUCCACGUAAGUGUCUCCUUGACUAAUCAUCUGACUUGUGCUGCACACAAAACCGUUUCAGUAGUCGGCUGCCAUACUGUGAUUCAGCCAUUAAAAGGAAGCCAGAACACCAGCUGGGUUCUGCUCACGCUUUGUAAAAGAUCAAGGAUUUCCAUGAGCUCACCAGCCUUUCCACGUUGUGUCUGUAGCAAAAUCCAUUACAUACAGGACCUGAUGUCAACCUUCUCUUGACACCGCACAAGUUCAGUUUCCACUGUUGACCAUGCAACCAUUAUGCUGGUGUGUCAAAGUCUGGAUUUACCUCUGUUACCUCUAGUGUUGAAACGGGUUCAUAAUUCAAAAACAUUCAACAGUUAGAACGGCACUCUUGCGAGUACUUUGAAGAACUGGCGUAUGUUCUGCAACACAUGUAGCAGGUCAUGUGUCCUCAUCUCGCUGGACCUGUCAGCAGCCUUUGGAAGGAUGAACCACCAGAUCCUGCUGUCACACUCUGUGAACCAGGCGUCUUGGGUACAAACAGCGUCUUUGGUUUGACAUCACGGGGCAAUUGCUCCCAGUGGCAAAGAGUCCGAGCGUCACUUUCUGUCAUUUUCUAAAUAUGAACCAGCUUCCGUAGUUUUACUCUGUCUUUCCCUCCAGGCUGCUGUACUGCUCAGAUUCCUGCUUGACUCACACAUAUCUCAAAAUUGUCGAACAGCACCUACAACUC
ensembl:lncRNA